ACAAGCAUCGAGUGAAUGCCUUGGCGAUAUCUGACGAAGAAGGACGUGAUAAGCUGCGAUAAGCCUCGGGGAGCCGCAAAUAGGCGUUAUAUCCGGGGAUUUCCGAAUGGGGCAACCCGGCCUGCGAAGGUCAUCCCUCUCUGAAUCUAUAGGGGAGCGGAAGUGAACCCGCUGAAGUGAAACAUCUCAGUAAGCGGAGGAAAAGAAAGAGCAUCGAUUCCGUAAGUAGUGGCGAGCGAAAGCGGAAGAGCCCAAACCGAAGCGAUUCAUCGCGUCGGGGUUGUAGGACUCGGCUGUGAGACUUUGACGGUUAGGCGAAAUGUUUGAGAGACAUGCCACAGAGGGUGAGAGCCCCGUAUCCGAAAACCCGAAAAGCUCUACGAGUAUCCUGAGUAGCACCGGACACGUGAAACCCGGUGUGAAUCUGUGCCGACCACGGCAUAAGGCUAAAUACACGAUAUCGACCGAUAGAGAACAGUACCGCGAGGGAACGGUGAAAAGAACCCCUGUUAGGGGAGUGAAAAAGAACCUGAAACUUGAUGCUUACAAGCGGUCGGAGCUCCUUCAUGGAGUGACGGCGUACCUUUUGUAUAAUGAGUCUGGGAGUUUAUGCGUGCGGCGAGCUUAAGGGUUUUCGAUCCGGAGGCGAAGCGAAAGCGAGUCUGAACAGGGCGCUAAGUCGCAUGCAUAAUACCCGAAGCGGAGGUGAUCUACCCUUGACCAGGUUGAAACCGGAGUAACAUCCGGCGGAGGACCGAACCGAUAAACCUUGAGAAGUUUCCGGAUGAGUUGAGGGUAGGAGUGAAAGGCUAAUCAAACCCCGUAAUAGCUGGUUCUCUUCGAAAUAUAUUUAGGUAUAGCGUCUUGCGCUGACUCGCGGGGGUAGAGCACUGAAAAGGCUAGGGGACACACCCGUCUACCAACCCUUAUCAAACUCCGAAUACCGCGGGGUGCAGCAAGGCAGUCAGACUGUGGGGGCUAAGCUUCAUAGUCGAGAGGAAAACAGUCCAGACCACCAAUUAAGGCCCCAAAUACAAUGCUAAGUGGAUUCAAGGAUGUGAUUUUACACAGACAAUAGGGAUGUUGGCUUAGAGGCAGCCACCAUUUAAACAGUGCGUAACAGCUGACCUAUCGAGUGAAAUUGCGCCUAAGAUGAUCGGGACUCAAGCAUUGAGCCGAAGUUGUGGGAUCCGCAAGGAUCGGUAGAAGAGCGUUCCGGCAGCGGCGAAGUCAAGACGGCGAGUCUUGGUGGAGCGGCCGGAAGUGAGUAUCCAGACAUGAGUAACGAUAAAUGCGGUUAAAAUCCGCAUCGCCGUAAGGAUAAGGUUUCCAGGGUAAAGUUCGUCUGCCCUGGGUCAGGCGGGAGCUAAGGCGAGGCCGUAAGGAGUAGUCGAUGCACAGCCGGUUAAUAUUCCGGCCCCGAUCGGAGAGGACGAAGAUGAGAGCUGCACAGACCUUAAUGACUUGGCAGUCCGAGGCUACGGCCGAGGGCGCGUGCGGGGAUCAGCUUCCGGGAAAAGCCUCCGAAUUAAAGCCCGUACCGCAAACCGACACAGGUAUCCGAGAUGAGUAUUCUAAGGCGCGUGAGUUAAAUCUUCUUAAGGAACUCGACAAAUUGGCCCUGUAUCUUCGGUAUAAGGGGUGCCUCGCAAGAGGCCGCAGUGAAGAGGUCCAACCGACUGUUUAGCAAAAACACAGCUCUCUGCUAAGUCGUAAGACGACGUAUAGGGAGUGACGUGUGACCAAUGCGGAAAGGUGAAAGCUGGAGGUGCAAGCUUCUGGUCUAAGCCCCCGUGAAUGUCGGCCGUAACUAUAACGGUCCUAAGGUAGCGAAAUUCCUUGUCAGGUAAGUUCUGACCUGCACGAAUCACGUAACGAGUUGGACAUUGUCUCGAGAAGAUGCUCAGUGAAAUUGUAGUCGCGGUGAAGAUGCCGCGUUCCCGCAGCAGGACGGAAAGACCCUAUAGACCUUUACUAUAACCUGUUAUUGGUGUUUGAUUUUCAAUUCGUAGAAUAGCCGGGAGACUUUGAGCUGCCGCUUCAGGGCGGCAGUGAGUCGCAAUGUGAAAUACCGGUAUUUGCUUAUUAGACAUCUAACCGAUCAUCCGUGAGCCGGAAUCGGGACAGUGAUAGGGGGUUAGUUUGACUGGGGCGGUCUCCUCCCAAAGAGUAACGGAGGAUCGCGAAGGUCACCUCAUGCCGGUCGGCAAUCGGCAGUUGAGUGUAUGGAUAGAAGGUGGCUUAACUGCAAGACCUACAAGUCGAGCAGAUACGAAAGUAGGCCCAAGUGAUCCGGUGACGCAUCGUGGGAUGCUCAUCGCUUAAAGGACAAAAGGUACCUUAGGGAUAACAGGCUGAUUCCAUCCAAGCGUUCAUAGCGACGAUGGAGUUUGGCACCUCGAUGUCGGCUCAUCACAUCCUGGGGCUGCAGAAGGUCCCAAGGGUUCGGCUGUUCGCCGAUUAAAGUGGUACGCGAGCUGGGUUCAAAACGUCGUGAGACAGUUUGGUCCUCUAUCCGCUGUGGGCGCAGGAGAGUUGAGGGGUUCAUUUAUUAGUACGAGAGGACCGUAAAUGACGCACCUCUGGUGUUCCGGUUGUCGUGUCUGCGGCAGCGCCGGGUAGCUAAGUGCGGAAGAGAUAAGCGCUGAAAGCAUCUAAGCGCCAAGCUCCUCCCAAGAUAAGCUCUCUCUUGAGGAUCCGGGCAGACCACCCGGUCGAUAGGCCGCAAGUGUAAGCGCAGUAAUGCGUUCAGCUCAGCGGUACUAAUUAUCCGAUUGUUUUAUCG
rnacentral:rRNA from 1 species